GACGAACGCUGGCGGCGUGCCUAAUACAUGCAAGUAGAACGCACAGUUUAUACCGUAGCUUGCUACACCAUAGACUGUGAGUUGCGAACGGGUGAGUAACGCGUAGGUAACCUGCCUGGUAGCGGGGGAUAACUAUUGGAAACGAUAGCUAAUACCGCAUAAUAUUGAUUAUUGCAUGAUAAUUGAUUGAAAGAUGCUAUUGCAUCACUACCAGAUGGACCUGCGUUGUAUUAGCUAGUAGGUGAGGUAACGGCUCACCUAGGCGACGAUACAUAGCCGACCUGAGAGGGUGAUCGGCCACACUGGGCCUGAGACACGGCCCAGACUCCUACGGGAGGCAGCAGUAGGGAAUCUUCGGCAAUGGACGAAAGUCUGACCGAGCAACGCCGCGUGAGUGAAGAAGGUUUUCGGAUCGUAAAGAUCUGUUGUAAGAGAAGAACGGGUGUGAGAGUGGAAAGUUCACACUGUGACGGUAUCUUACCAGAAAGGGACGGCUAACUACGUG
rnacentral:rRNA from 1 species